rnacentral:tRNA from 1 species
ACGGACAUAGGUUAAAUAGGUAGACCGAUCGCCUUCCAAGUGAUGUGUGCCGAUUCGAAUUCGGCUGUCCGUA